rnacentral:rRNA from 1 species
GCUGGUUCUAUCCAUAACACCUGUGCACUGUUGGAUGCUUGCAUCCACUUUUAAACUAAACAUUAUUGUAACAAAUGUAGUCUUAUUAUAACAUAAUAAAACUUUCAACAACGGAUCUCUUGGCUCUCGCAUCGAUGAAGAACGCAGCGAAAUGCGAUAAGUAAUGUGAAUUGCAGAAUUCAGUGAAUCAUCGAAUCUUUGAACGCACCUUGCGCUCCUUGGUAUUCCGAGGAGCAUGCCUGUUUGAGUGUCAUGAAACCCUCAAACCCAAGUUUUGGAUUUCGGUCCAUGCUUGAGUUUGGAUUUGGAUGUUUGCCGGUGAUGAACCGACUCAUCUUAAAAGUAUUAGCUGGAUCUGUCUAUAUGACUGGUUUGACUUGGCAUAAUAAGUAUUUUGCUGAGGACAUCUUCGGAUGGCCAGGACCUAGACUAUUGUCUGCUAACUAAACCAUCACUUUAAGUGCAUCCUUGGAUGUUACUCAUUGUGUAACUUUGACAUCUGGCCUCAAAUCAGGUAGGACUACCCGCUGAACUUAAGCAUAUCAAUAAGCGGAGGAAAAGAAACUAACAAGGAUUCCCCUAGUAACGGCGAGUGAAGCGGGAAGAGCUCAAAUUUGAAAUCUGGUGGCCUCAGGUCAUCCGAGUUGUAAUCUAUAGAAGUGUUUUCCGUGCUGGCUCAUGUACAAGUCCCUUGGAACAG